UACGUAGGAGGCAAGCGUUGUCCGGAAUUACUGGGCGUAAAGCGCACGUAGGCGGAUCGUUAAGUCAGGGGUGAAAUCCUGGGGCUCAACCCCAGAACUGCCUUUGAUACUGGCGAUCUCGAGUCCGGAAGAGGUGAGUGGAACUCCUAGUGUAGAGGUGGAAUUCGUAGAUAUUAGGAAGAACACCAGUGGCGAAGGCGGCUCACUGGUCCGGUACUGACGCUGAGGUGCGAAAGCGUGGGGAGCAAACAGG
rnacentral:rRNA from 1 species